rnacentral:rRNA from 1 species
UGGGGAAUAUUGGACAAUGGGGGGAACCCUGAUCCAGCGAUGCCGCGUGUGUGAAGAAGGCCUGAGGGUUGUAAAGCACUUUCAGCGGGGAGGAGGGGUUAUUGGUUAAGAGCUGAUGACUUGGACGUUACCUGCAGAAGAAGCACCGGCUAACUCCGUGCCAGCAGCCGCGGUAAUACGGAGGGUGCAAGCGUUAAUCGGAAUUACUGGGCGUAAAGGGUGCGUAGGUGGUUUGAUAAGUCAUAUGUAGAAUCCCUGGGCUCAACCUGGGAAUGUCGUGUGAUACUGUUGGACUAGAGUAUGGGAGAGGGCAGUGGAAUUUCCGGUGUAGCGGUGAAAUGCGUAGAUAUCGGAAGGAACACCGGUGGCGAAGGCGGCUGCCUGGCCUGAUACUGACACUGAGGCACGAAAGCGUGGGGAGCAAACAG